AGUGAACGCUGGCGGUAGGCCUAACACAUGCAAGUCGAACGGCAGCACAGUAAGAGCUUGCUCUUACGGGUGGCGAGUGGCGGACGGGUGAGGAAUACAUCGGAAUCUACUUUUUCGUGGGGGAUAACGUAGGGAAACUUACGCUAAUACCGCAUACGACCUACCGGUGAAAGCAGGGGAUCUUCGAACCUUUCGCGAUUGAAUGAGCCGAUGUCGGAUUAGCUAGUUGGCGGGGUAAAGGCCUACCAAGGCGACGCUCCGUAGCUGGUCUGAGAGGAUGGUCAGCCACACUAGAACUGAGACACGGUCCAGACUCCUACGGGAGGCAGCAGUGGGGAAUAUUGGACAAUGGGCGCAAGCCUGAUCCAGCCAUACCGCGUGGGUGAAGAAGGCCUUCGGGUUGUAAAGACCUUUUGUUGGGAAAGAAAAGCAGCAGGUUAAUACCCCGCUGUUCUGACGGUACCCAAAGAAUAAGCACCGGCUAACUUCGUG
rnacentral:rRNA from 1 species